rnacentral:rRNA from 1 species
CAGUCGCCGCGGUAAUACAGAGGGUGCAAGCGUUAAUCGGAAUUACUGGGCGUAAAGCGCGCGUAGGUGGUUUGUUAAGUUGGAUGUGAAAUCCCCGGGCUCAACCUGGGAACUGCAUCCAAAACUGGCAGGCUAGAGUAGGGCAGAGGGUGGUGGAAUUUCCUGUGUAGCGGUGAAAUGCGUAGAUAUAGGAAGGAACACCAGUGGCGAAGGCGACCACCUGGGCUCAUACUGACACUGAGGUGCGAAAGCGUAGGGAGCAAACAGGAUUAGAUACCCCGGUAGUCCCUGUCUCUUAUAC